UUCUUAGCGCCCACUCACUGAGGGGAGCAAUGCGGGGAAAGUGACUCCUCAGGAAAGACCCAGCAUGGCUGCCCAAGGAAAGCCCCAAGUGCAGUUUAAGCUUGUCCUGGUUGGUGAUGGUGGCACUGGUAAAACAACAUUUGUAAAAUGUCAUUUGACUGGUGAAUUUGAAAAGAAGUAUGUAGCAACGCUUGGGUGUUGAAGUUCAUCCUCUGGUGUUCCAGAUGCCCUAUUAAAUUUAACAUACGGGACACAGCUGGCCAAGAGAAAUUUGGUGGCCUGCGAGAUGGCUAUUACACCCAAGCUCAUCAUAAUGUCUGACGUAACAUCAAGAGUUACUUACAAGAAUGUACCUAAUUGGCACAGAGAUCUGGUAUAAGUAUGUGAAAACAUCCCUAUAGUGUUGUGUGGCAACAAAGUGGAUAUUAAGGACAGAAGAGUCAAGGCAAAAUCCAUUGUCUUCCACAGGAAAAAGAAUCUCCAGUAUUACGACAUUUCAGCUAAGAGUAACUACAACUUUGAGAAGCCCUUAUUCUGGCUUGCUAGAAAGCUAACUGGAGACCCUAACUUGGAAAAAAAUUUUAGUGCCACUGUACU